AAAGUGUCAUCCUUUGCAGCCCGGGAUAUGGUAUUACAAAGUUAUCGAAGCUGAUCACAUAUUUUUUAUUAUAAAUCGGGAGAGAGCAGGAGUUCAGUUUGAUCUUUUGUAUGAUAGCAUUUUUGAGCGCUGCAGAAAGCAUGUUUUGGUUGCUUGCAGAAAUGGUUAGAUUGCCUCUAUGUGUCAUGAAAAAAGAAGGGUAUAUGUUAUCUUGGAUUUGGAACUGUUGAAAAUCUUCAAUAAAUUUAUUUUUAAUGUUUUAAUUUUGCGUUGCUUAUUAGCCUAUCUGUUUAGUGGCAACUUUGAAUAUUAAUUUCAUAAAUUAUGUUCAAGUUCUAUUUUGAUUGCA